rnacentral:rRNA from 1 species
UACGAAGGGGGCUAGCGUUGCUCGGAAUCACUGGGCGUAAAGCGCACGUAGGCGGAUUGUUAAGUCAGGGGUGAAAUCCUGGAGCUCAACUCCAGAACUGCCUUUGAUACUGGCGAUCUCGAGUCCGGGAGAGGUGAGUGGAACUGCGAGUGUAGAGGUGAAAUUCGUAGAUAUUCGCAAGAACACCAGUGGCGAAGGCGGCUCACUGGCCCGGUACUGACGCUGAGACGCGAAAGCGUGGGGAGCGAACGGG